rnacentral:rRNA from 1 species
UACGUAGGGUGCAAGCGUUGUCCGGAAUUAUUGGGCGUAAAGAGCUCGUAGGCGGUCUGUCGCGUCGGCUGUGAAAUCCCGAGGCUCAACCUCGGGUCUGCAGUCGAUACGGGCAAACUAGAGUAUUGCAGGGGAGACUGGAAUUCCUGGUGUAGCGGUGAAAUGCGCAGAUAUCAGGAGGAACACCGGUGGCGAAGGCGGUUCUCUGGGCAUUACCUGACGCUGAGACGCGAAAGCGUGGGGAGCGAACCGG